AUUGAAACUAUUCCAGCCCUACGAGCCCGUCCACGCGUAGCCAGGCUUGCCGGGGCACCUCGCAGGGUGCAGGUAGUUAUCCUAACCGUGAGAUCGUGGUGCAAUGGAUCAAGUGUUUGUCCACAGAACUCUCUAUCUAUACCCCCCACUACAAGUCUGAACUCUUCGAGGCAAAAGUCUUUGUCUCUUCUUAUUUCAUUAAAGGCUGCAACGUCCAAGCAGGCUCAAAAGCAAAUUCAUGUGCCUGCCCUUUUUUUUUUUUUUUUUUUUUUUUAAAAAAAAAAANNNNNNNNNNNNNNNNNNNNNNNAAAACGAGAGCGCUGUCAUUAGGCAUUGUACGCCCCAUCCGUGUGGACGCUGCAAAAAAAGAACUAGGGAACCAUUCAGUAUUUGGAAUACCCUGGUGUAGGAAUUAAGUCAUCGCCACCACCUGACGCGUGUAACCAAUCUGCUGAGAGGAGAACAAGCGCCCCUCCUCACCAUCCCCCAGAACUGGUCCGAAACAGGAUUGAACCGCUUCUAACAAAGGGUGGAAACUUAGAAAAACAAGCUUGGAGUCGCCUGUAUUUCCACAAUGUAGGCACUUAAACAACAGAUUGCAAAUCUCAGGACCCCUUCUCCCUUUGACAAUGCUUCAAUCUUCGUCUUAUACCCCAAACCCAAAUCCGAUGUGUCAUAUACUUUUCAAUUCCAUCUGUCUGCCAUGGGUUUCAUUGAAUCCACGUUCCAAAGUUAGACAUGAUGCUCCGAGAAGAAAAUCACUGACCCCGAAUGGCUUCUAAAACUGACUUAAUAGUUUGCAUAAUGAUAGACAUUAUCCUUUGAAAUAAACGAUGCUUGAUGUACAUUUUAAAGGGAAUUGGGAAAAAUAGGGGGAAAACACGUGGGGGUGUUGGUGCCAUAUGUCAAAAUAAGGGAUGGAAGCCCUUUAUCAAAGAACAAUAAUCAAGUCCUCAAAGUCGUUUGCACGUUAAUAUCAAAAUCAGAUACAUCUAGCAACCUUCUUAAAUGUCACUACAGUUCUUUAUUGGAGCUCAUUUCUGGAUCUAAGAUUGUAAAAUAAAGGAAAUCCAAUAUCGG
ensembl:processed_transcript 1700023H06Rik RIKEN cDNA 1700023H06 gene